ACGUGUAACGACGUGUCUUGAAGAUAGACCUCCUGGGGGGGGUUGGGAUGCCGGCCUGCGAGGGUUCACGUGCUCGCCCCCCUGUAUUUUCACAUCCACGCACCUGUGCACCUUUAGGCGAGCGUCCCCCCGUUGCGGAGCCGUCCGGCGCGUUCGCGUCGGGCCGGGGCGCUCUCCGUCCCAACACCACAGCCUGUCUUAUAACGCAUGUAAACCGCCCCACGGGGUAAUUGAUGAAUA
rnacentral:misc_RNA from 1 species